UGUAAUGGUAUGAACCCCAGAGGAGCUGAUCCAUGGCAAACUCUCCUGACCUUGCAGCAAACACAUGCAUCCAAACCUCACAGUGGAAAUGGACUCAUACAAGUUAACCACAGAGGAAUCCCAGUGUAAACCCAGGUCUCAGUGAAAGGAGGGGAGCAAACCAAGGCAGCGAAUAAAGAUGCUGAAUGCAAUCUAAUGCAGAACAUGAUUCCUGUAAUAAUUGGAUCAGCUAUUGAAAUCUUCAGACCAAGUUAGAGGGGAACUGGCCAC